GUAGGGGUAGGAGUAGUAGUAGCAGUAGCAGUAGCGAGUAGGGUAGCUGCGUAGUUGAUUACCCACUUGAGAGAAAGGCUGAAUAAACCUUUUGAAACUACACCUCUCUGUCGACUCCACUCCGUUUUCCGGGGACGCCCCAAGACUGCAGGUGCAGAUCGCGGUGUCGGGACGAGAGUUAGUGAGGGCCGUGAGGGCCGCGAGUGCUUGAAGUCUCGGAGGUGACCGGGCACACAAAACAACCAUGAGCAUCUCCUUUCAGGCAAUUCUCCCGGGGGCCAUUUCCUAUUCUAGGUAGCCCUGGAUGGGAGAGACAGAAGGUUGAACAUGGAUCCACUAUGUUACUCAGGACCUUCUUUGUCCCAUCUCGGUUUGCCAGUAACCAGUAACCUACAAUCCUUGCUUGCUCGACACAACAGCAGCCAAACCCAGAAGACUAAAGGAAGACUUGACAUAGUCUGGGCAAAUCAGCCCAAUAGGUUCGGAUUGGGCUGCGCCGGAAUGUAAACUUGGUAUUUACUUCUCUCAACUGGGAGGAAGGUAUUCGAUAUUCGCGGCAAGCUUUUCAGUGCCCGAAUAUUUUCUGAUUGUAAGACUUCCUCGCUCCAUCCCCUUAACCCCUUUCCCCAUAAGACCGUGCACACAAAUGGACGCACACAGACAAACAAACACAUUCACAAUAGCACUCACACUCUCACUUAAAAUUCACACACACAUAAUUCUCCCGAUUGGGUUUCCCGCAGUAAUGGAUAACUGGACUCAAACCCUGGAAAGGCAUUUGGUGCUACUAUGUCUAGCCCGUAGACAGAAAGCCUCUUUUCCUGCUGUCCUGGUCCAGGGAAAGCUCCCAGGGACGAAAUGAGGACUCCAAAGUGGGAGCAACUACAGCUGCUGAAGUACCCCACUCACUGCUUGCUUCCUCCCUCGUUCACUCCCUAACCCCAGUCUCCCAGGCUCGCCCUACACCCUUGCCCCCAGCCACUCGGAAAGUUUGGAAACCGGAAAGUCGCUUUCUCUUAGUAGCGAGGGGCCGCAGACUUGCAGUGGAACCUCAGAACUGCUUAGCCGGAAGCCCAAUUCGAUCAACAGAUGAGGAAACUCUGUAUGCACAUAUAUGCAUAUAUCACUGUGUAUGCAUGUAUAUAUGCGUAUAACACACACAUAUAACAUUAGGACGUAUGUAGGCAUGUGUAAGCGUGCACAUGCGUGUGUUUAUGUAUGUUAAUGUAUAUAUGUAUUGUUAACUAUCGUGUGUGCAUGUGUGCCUGAGUGCACCCAUUAGUAUGUGUACAUUAUUUCCCAUAAAACAGUAAAUGGACAAUUCAUAGGUA